UAGGGUUUGAUUAUGGCUCAGAUUGAACGCUGGCGGCAGGCCUAACACAUGCAAGUCGAGCGCGAAAACACUUCGGUGUGAGUAGAGCGGCGGACGGGUGAGUAAUGCUUGGGAAUCUGCCCAGUAGUGGGGGAUAACGUGUGGAAACGCACGCUAAUACCGCAUACGUCCUACGGGAGAAAGCAGGGGAUCUUCGGACCUUGCGCUAUUGGAUGAGCCCAAGUCAGAUUAGCUAGUUGGUGAGGUAAUGGCUCACCAAGGCGACGAUCUGUAGCUGGUCUGAGAGGAUGAUCAGCCACACUGGGACUGAGACACGGCCCAGACUCCUACGGGAGGCAGCAGUGGGGAAUAUUGCACAAAGGGCGAAAGCCUGAUGCAGCCAUGCCGCGUGUGUGAAGAAGGCUCUAGGGUUGUAAAGCACUUUCAGUGGGGAGGAAAAGUUUAAGAUUAAUACUCUUGAACCUUGACGUUACCUGCAGAAGAAGCACCGGCAAACUCCGUGCCAGCAGCCGCGGUAAUACGGAGGGUGCGAGCGUUAAUCGGAAUUACUGGGCGUAAAGCGCGCGUAGGUGGUUUGAUAAGCUAGCUGUGAAAGCCCCGGNCUCAACCUGGGAACUGCAGUUAGAACUGUCUGGCUAGAGUAUAGUAGAGGGUGGCGGAAUCUCCUGUGUAGCG
rnacentral:rRNA from 1 species